CUCACCUCCUUCCUUCGUCCUCAGUUCGUCCGGGCUGCGCCCUUUGGCCGUACCUCCACAUGGUGGUCUCCGUGGCGGCCUCCGAUUCCAAAUCCAUCCGCCCUGCUCCCUCUCCGUCUGCGGGUCGCGCGGCUCCCUGCGAGGCUCGGCAAAGAAGCGUGCGACCGGUGACGGGGGCACCAGCGUCGCGCGCCAGCUGCGCGCGCUCGUCGCCGCGUGGUGCGUCGAGGUGGAGGGCAGGGGGGCGGUGGUGUCCGUCACCGCCUGGUCCGGGUGUCAGCUCCCGCGAUUGCGCUCCUCCUCCUCCGCCGCCGUGUAAGAUUGUCUUCUUCGGAUCGACCCGCCCCUCCGUGGCAAUGUGUAGAGCCUCUCCUCCUCUCGCGUCUGGUGCGGCAAUUCGUCCUCGAUUCCUGCCUCUCCUCCUCUGGCCUCGCUCGGUUCGUCCGCUUAGUUUAGAAGAAUCGCGUCUGAUUUGUUCCAUUUUGCUCGUCCUCGGUUCGUCUAUUCUGAUUGAAAAAUUGCGUCUGGUUUGAUUGAUUUUGCUCGUCCUCGCCGUCGGCGUCAGUUUACAGUCGCGUGUGAUUUUAUUUUUUCUCGUCCUCGCCGUCAUCAUCAGUUUAGAGUCGCGUGUGAUUUUAUUUUGCUCGUCCUCGCCGUCGCCCUGAUGCUCUCUCGUGUUCUUGGGCCGUCUCGUCCGGGGGUCUUCGUUCCUGCGAGUCUCGGAGAAAGCAAGCGAGCGGUCGGUCGGUUUGGGUCACUCUCUGCUUGAGAAACUUGUGUGUUCGCUUCUGUUAUCUGCCUGCAUUUCGUGUUCGUAUCUGGGCGAUGGUUGCAAUAAUGAGCGGUUCUGGUUUCAAAAUUGUAGCAGUGUCAAAUCGCUCCCUCUGUUUCAUCACCUGUGUUGUUCGUCGGUUGUUUUCAUAUGCCAAACGCAUGCGCCCUUGUGAUACUCUGGUUGCCCUUUGUCGAUUCUUGUUCUACCGGUAGGUGUGUGUGCUCCCAUCCUAGAUGCAGAGAAUCUUAGUUCUUGUCUGUUACAGCUGUUCUGAUGCUGUUAUUUUCAAUUGUUUAUUGUUACAUCAUGCUCUGCUUAUGUUCCCAUAUGGCACGAUUGACUGAUUGAUUGUUGUUUGAUUGAUUGCCUUGAGAUGAACUGUUGUUUGUUGUUUGAUUGAUUGCCUUGAGAUGGACUGUUGUUUGUUGUUUGAUGAUUGAUUUUCUUGAGAAGGUAAAAACAAUGUAGGCCAGUUGAUUGAUGUUUGUUGCCUUGAGAUGGUACAUGUUUAUAUGGCAUGAUUGAUUACUGUUUGUGUAUGGUUAUUAAGGUUGAUUGCUAUUUGUUUGUUGAUUGAUUGCUGUUUGUUGAUUGGUAUCUGACUUUGGUAAUGGUAGUUCCUGAUCAUAGGUAACAGACCUAGUGCUAUUCUUUUUUCUGAACCUUUUUUGUGAUUAUUAUGCCUUCACAUUGCACUGCUCCCAGAUCCAUAUCGACAUGCCCACGCUGUUUGAUGAGGAUAAAGAUGUUAUGAAAAAAUGGGGAAAACAAGAUUGACAUCCUCUCUCUUUUUAUACAAGGAAUACAGAAGAUGUGCGGCAAGCACGGGGAGUUCCUCUCAAAGUUAGGUGAUCUUAGCCAAACUCUUAUUUUUGCCAAAAUUUAGAAUGUAGAGGGUUUGAACCAUUUUGAUGAGAUCCUGGAAGAAGCUGAUGGUAUAAUUCUGUUAAGAGGAAACCAUGGAAUUGAUCUUCCACCUGAAAAGGUGCGGGCUGCUAUCAAAGUUAAGGCUUCGGUCAUCAUUUGCUUCACCUCAUCUGGACGGGCUGCAAGGUGGAAAGAGAAAGAAAAAGAGUAUUUCUUCUUAUAGGAGCUUCACCUCAUCUUGUAGUUUAAUGGAAAUUGAUUCAUACAGUAUGCCAUAUCGAGUAUCUGCAGGCUAAUUGCCAAUUACAGGCCCACCAUGCCAUUCCUCGUCUGAAAACAAAUCAAUUGAAGUGGAGCUUCACAAGCGCAUUUGAAGUAUGUGAACAGCGUUUUUCCUUGUAACCUUUUGAGUACAUCCUUCUGUGUGUGCUAUAUCUAGGUAAUAAUGAUUCAGAACUAGCAUGUUGAUCUUCAAACUUUGAAAGAUAACUUCAGGCUAUAGUUUUUGUUAAUGACAAAUCUAACACUGAACCUUGCCCAAUCGUGCAACUCAAAACAGAGGAACAAUAUAUAGUAUUUUCCAUGUAAUGCUAGAAAAUUCAUUUAGCAUUUAACCUUCAUGGUUUUGCCUUGAUACAACAUCCUUCUUUUCUCUCAUCAAAAUAUUGAUGAUAUGUAUUGCUCCUUUAUUUUUACUUGGUGCAUA